rnacentral:tRNA from 1 species
GGAGGAUUAGUUAAUAUCAAUAACACGAGUAUGUCAAGCUCGAAUAACUGUUUAAGUAUCCUCUU